AUUGAACGCUGGCGGCAGGCCUAACACAUGCAAGUCGAGCGGAUGAAGAGAGCUUGCUCUCUGAUUUGGCGGCGGACGGGUGAGUAAUGCCUAGGAAUCUGCCUGGUAGUGGGGGAUAACGUUCCGAAAGGAACGCUAAUACCGCAUACGUCCUACGGGAGAAAGCAGGGGACCUUCGGGCCUUGCGCUAUCAGAUGAGCCUAGGUCGGAUUAGCUAGUUGGUGAGGUAAUGGCUCACCAAGGCGACGAUCCGUAACUGAUCUGAGAGGAUGAUCAGUCACACUGGAACUGAGACACGGUCCAGACUCCUACGGGAGGCAGCAGUGGGGAAUAUUGGACAAUGGGCGAAAGCCUGAUCCAGCCAUGCCGCGUGUGUGAAGAAGGUCUUCGGAUUGUAAAGCACUUUAAGUUGGGAGGAAGGGCAUUAACCUAAUACGUUAGUGUUUUGACGUUACCAACAGAAUAAGCACCGGCUAACUUCGUGCCAGCCGCCGCAGUAAAAC
rnacentral:rRNA from 1 species